AAGGUGGGCGGGGCGACGCUCCACAAUCACGUCUGACUUCCUGUCCCUCUACAAUUCUUUGUGUCAGGGGUCACCAGACUUUAAAGGCGUCGCGUGGCUCUGCUGCCGACUCUGUAGCGCCGUGACCUGUACCGAGUAGUAGGGAGGACGCCGGGGGACCCAGGAGCCUCAGCAAUGAGACAGUGGUUUACCCUGUGACGUCACUUCUCUGACGGAAGAGUUGUUGAUUACAAGUUUCUUGGCUUUUUUAUUCUGAGGACUCAAAUCUGGCUUCGGAGCUCCGUGUAUUACAGACCAGAGACCAUGAUUCUCUGACUCCUUUUUUUCCAGUUUCAUUGAGAAAAAAUUGAUACACAUGACUUUAUAAAUUUAAGGUGUAUUGACAUCUUGGGGGGCACCUCAUUCCACGUUGGCGGUGGACAGCUUGUCUGGAGCAGGCCUCUCAUGUGCAUCCCGCCUGAUCCAGUGCCCUGUCCCUACAGACCUCCUUAUCUGCCUCUCACACGCCAGACAGUAUCCCCUGCCCUAAACCCACCCAGGGCCAGGAACCAGAUGACUGAGGACCAUCCCCAGGCCCCAGAGGCUGCUGGGAUUGUUCAAAGCAGCCAGUCCUGAGCUGCUCACUCUGCCCUGACUCACAUUUCCUGUGGGACCCAAAUGAAGGCCGUGGCCUGGGUUUGUGUCCCAUUCCUGAUUCUCCCUCCUGAGCAACCCUGAUGCAGCCCCUAUGACCCUGUCUGGCAUGGUGUGCCCCCUUGUCUUGGGAAAUGUAAGUAAAAAACUUCUUUCAGUG
rnacentral:lncRNA from 1 species